rnacentral:rRNA from 1 species
UACGUAGGGGGCGAGCGUUGUCCGGAUUUAUUGGGCGUAAAGAGCUCGUAGGCGGUUCGGCAAGUCAGAUGUAAAAACUCCAGGCUCAACUUGGAGAGGCCAUCUGAUACUGCCGUGACUAGAGUCCGGUAGAGGAGCACGGAAUUCCUGGUGUAGCGGUGAAAUGCGCAGAUAUCAGGGGAAACACCAGCGGCGAAGGCGGUGCUCUGGGCCGGAACUGACGCUGAGGAGCGAAAGCGUGGGGAGCGAACAGG